ACACAGUGUUGCCAUCCGAAUCCAACAC
rnacentral:piRNA from 1 species